rnacentral:rRNA from 1 species
AUUGAACGCUGGCGGCAGGCUUAACACAUGCAAGUCGAGCGGAGAUGAGGUGCUUGCACCUUAUCUUAGCGGCGGACGGGUGAGUAAUGCUUAGGAAUCUGCCUAUUAGUGGGGGACAACAUUCCGAAAGGAAUGCUAAUACCGCCUACGUCCUACGGGAGAAAGCAGGGGAUCUUCGGACCUUGCGCUAAUAGAUGAGCCUAAGUCGGAUUAGCUAGUUGGUGGGGUAAAGGCCUACCAAGGCGACGAUCUGUAGCGGGUCUGAGAGGAUGAUCCGCCACACUGGGACUGAGACACGGCCCAGACUCCUACGGGAGGCAGCAGUGGGGAAUAUUGGACAAUGGGGGGAACCCUGAUCCAGCCAUGCCGCGUGUGUGAAGAAGGCCUUAUGGUUGUAAAGCACUUUAAGCGAGGAGGAGGCUACUGAGACUAAUACUCUUGGAUAGUGGACGUUACUCGCAGAAUAAGCACCGGCUAACUCUGUGCCAGCAGCCGCAGUAA